GUCAAGCCUAGGGCGGCCACCCGAAAACCGGAUACCUUCCCCGGCUGGCUUGGUGUUCUUCGUGAAGG
ncrna:Burkholderia pseudomallei 9 int-alpA RNA